ensembl:lncRNA
AUGUUAUCCUAUUCUAUUUACUGUACUCUUUUCUUGUUUUUAUCUCUACUCUUCUGUCAUUUUAUCCACUCCUCUCUACCUUCUGUCCAGGAGGUUUGUGAUGAAGUAAUUAAAUUGUGGCAACUUUCUGGAAUAUAUUUAAUGUCCUCUCUUUGUCUGUUAAUCUUUCUGUUAGGAUGCAACUCAACUAUAGGGAGAAAAAGGUCGGCAUCAGAGAGAACAGAAGCCCAGAGAAGUACAAUUAUGUACACACUGUUCUUCAGGAGAAAAAGAGACUUAAAAGGGAGGCUGGGAGCACACAGAGGACACCGAUGCAACUCAACUAUAGGGUGGAAAAGGUCGGCAUCAGAGAGAACAGAAGCCCAGAGAAUUACAAGUAUGUACACACUGUUCUUCAGGAGAAAAAGAGACUUAAAAGGGAGGCUGGGAGCACACAGAGGACACCGUACGUUAUAGCCUUUCGAACACACCCUGAACUUUUAACCCGAACAUGCCUGGCCGAGGCACACAGACAGAAGCGUGUUCAUCCAGUAUAUAAUUUCAGCAAAUCCAUUAUAUCCAUAUAACACAGGCUGACCUGUCCACCCAAACAUGCCUGGCCGAGGCACACAGACAGAGCCUUUCGUUCAGUGGAUAACUGCAGCAGAUUUAUUAUGUCAGGGAACAUCAAGUUCCACAGUUUAUUAAAUUAGCUUCACAAUAUGUAACACUCUGCCAUGAUGCUAGAGAAACACACGAAUGCUGAUCAGAACCACUAUAGUUAUAGUAUAAUGUUUUUUAUUAUUACUGUCAUUUCAUUUAUUUGUAUUUAACCUACGAAUUGUAUUUUUUGUUUUGUAUAAUUGAUUCUUGAUGCUUUGGCAACAUAGUUCUCAUAACAUUCAUGCAGAUGACUAAUCGCAAAUCACAAAACUAGAGACCUGCCUAUAUGCAGUGAAGAUAUAUAUAUAUAUUUAACUCAUUUACCACCUCAGUUUCUUUACUAUCAAUAGUGAUGUAAAAUUUCUCUAGGGCUUUCCUUCUUAUUGAGAAGCACAUGGAUACUGUUUUUUUUUUGUGAUUAAGUGUUAAGUGAUUCCUUUGUAGCCAUUCUGAAACAGUAACCAUCUGUCUGCUUAAGAUCUCUGCAGACUUCUUUAAAUCUAAACUCAAAACUCACUUCUUCGAUUUAGCCUUUAAUUAGCCCUGAUAUCAACUGUAAGCUUCUCAGUGGGUCAGUGUGUCUCAAUGAGUUCCUAUAGUACUAGAGUUGCACUGCGCUGCCGACGAGAAACGAUCUGUUUAUUCUGCUCAAUAUCGCAUUUCUCUAACCUUUGUUUUUUGUUUUAUGUUCCCACAAGCUGCAAGCUAUGUCACUCUCUACACUCUAUAGCUUCUCCUCCUCCUCCUCUCUCUCCUCCUCCGCUCUUUCUUUCAGGCUCCCUUCUGAUGGACCACGGCCCCCUGGUACAAUCUACCGUUUCCGGGCUCCAGCUACCUUGAAACACGGACUGAUCUGGAUCGUCGCACCCUGGGCUCUGCUGGAUCAUUGCUCUCCUCUGCUUCACUAUCUCCUCAUAUCUAUAUUUCUGUUAACCUUGAUCCCUCUCUCUGUCUAUUACUAAUGAUCUUGUGUGUCCUGCCCUCUUCCAGGUCAUCAUGGUGGACAGGAGGUCGUCUGGCUCGGGCUCCACUUGGUGAUGCCUCGUCCUGCUCGGUCGUCUCCUGAAUCAACUCACUUUACAUAACUUGUAUCAGACUUUCUGUUAAUGUAAUUUGUAAACUGUGAAUUGUUGCUCUUUUCUGAACACGCAACAUCUAUUGCAUGUCUGUCCGUCCUGGAAGAGUGAUCCCUCCUCUGUGGCUCUUCCUGAGGUUUCUUCCAUAGUUUAGUUUUUUUUUUACCGUUAAAAGGUCUUUAUUCCAUCAACGUGAAGUUUUUCCUCACUCAAAUCGAGGUUCUAAGGACAGAGGAUGUUGUUCACUGUACAGAUCAUAAAGCCCACUGAGGCAAUGUGACAGUGAUUUUGGGCUAUAUAAAUAAGAUUGUUCAGAUGCAUGCCAAUAAGGGGGGAGGUAGGGGGAGAGAGAGAUUCUGGCGAUAUUAAAAUUAUUUACAUUAAAAUGGUAAGCGUGACACAGAGAUUUCUUGAGUGAGAAGUACAUAAACUAGUGUGUAACUUUUGUCUUAUGAUUGCCUGCAUGACAACCAGUGAGAAGAGUGGCAAGCUGCAAAUUGAAAAAACGGUAGGAAGUUCAACACGAACAUCGUAGAGUUUUUUACUGUUUGCACUACUGCUAAUGCUUCAAAUGAAAUGUCUCAGUGUGCUAACAUUCGGAUUUCUGCGUUGCUGUCAAAUCCGUGUCGAUCCAUGUUUGUUUCCUUAGCUUUAUGAAUGUUUGAUGAAGUGAAUUUCAGGGACCGCUAUUUGACGCGAGUGCUGUACUUCCUGGUUUGCCGCGUUGCAUCUUGGGAGAUGUAGUGUCCUAUUACAGAUAUAGACUAAAUGCGUUUUUGCACAGACCUUUCGGUAGAAUUUGAAAAUGGUGCAUAAUGUUUGACAUAUGAAACGUGUAUGUGAAAAGAAUUAUACAUUUUAGUAUUAUAUAUUUCUACUUUUGACUUGCAUAUGAUGUUCAUUAUACUAUUACUAGUUGAUUAACAUUUGAUGAUAUUUGUCAUGGGAUAUGGGUUGAUAUGUUAUUUAUUAUAUUGCUUAUUGUUACUGGGCUAUUGUGGUGAGUGAGCUGUGAUGAUUGUGUUAUGCACAUGGAAAAUGAAACGUAACAUUCCUUAUCUUUCAGGUUUAUUACCGCUUCCCCCUUUCAAGAAAUAAAAACAUACAAAAGUGGAAUACUGAGUGAUGUCCUUUCCUUUUUGGGUUGCCCUCCGUGGGGAGAAACGACAGUUGUGCUUCAUAACUCUCAGGGGGGAAUACAUCACUGCGUGUCAUACAUAAAGAGAUGUGUCAAUGUAAGAUUGUAAGACUAAUUUAUUUAUCUUUAUUGAUACUAUCAUUAGUCUCAUUACCACUUAUUUUACUAUUGUCUAUUAUCUCACACACUGUCAAUAAGACAACGGGAGAAACUAUUUUGUUCUUCUACUUAUGAAGCAUACGUUUAUCCAUUUAAAGACAAUGACAUCCGUUACACAGACCCUAAACUCUUCUUCACUUGCAAAUGCAAACGUACUUGCAUGUCGACAGCCCAUCAGAUACAUCGUCUUCUCAUCUGCAAUGGUCAGAAUUAGCAGAAUGUCUCUGUACUGAGAAAUGAAGCAGACAGACACAGACAUAUGCACACCCAAACAAGGUCAUCACAAACUUCUUCAUAAUUGUAUGCCCGCCACAGACUGAGAAACAGGAACUGAGACACGAUUUAUUGUGUUAUUUUGUAGUGUUUUAAUGACUUUAAAUAGAGAGGGUUAGAUACAUAAACCAUAAACUGACAAUCUAAACAUGAAGACACAAAAAAAUUAGAUAGCUAUUGCUGCCCAAUAUAUAUCAGCAUGAGUAGACAGACACACACACAAGUACAGGAAUACAAGCACACACACAUAUAUA